rnacentral:lncRNA from 1 species
CAAAUACUCACUAAAUUUGUGCUUAUAAAUUCACUUUUGAAUUUCACACUUUUUUCAAGCUUAUUUUCUAUAACUAACUCUAAAUUUCUCAAGCAAAAAGAAAGGGGGAAUUUGGAGAUACACUAGUCCAAGAAGCAUGCUCCCUCCAAGAAUCUCCUAACUUUUUCAAAUCAACAAGAGAAGAUCCACCUCCUCCUCUUGCUUCCUUAGCACUUAUUUUCAUCUUCAAAAUUGUCUCUCUAACCUCUUUCCCCUUUUCUGAUUCCAUCAACUCCUUAACUCUCUCCCCCAACUCAUUUUCACUCACAAACCCAUCUUUUGACUCAUUCAAUUCCAAAGCCACUUUCCAUUCUUGCACCAAAAUCAAUCUAUUCAUCUUCUGCUCCGCGUAAAGUGGCCACGUUAUCAUUGGAACUCCUUCGCAAAUAGCUUCCAACACGGAGUUCCAUCCACAAUGAGUCACGAACCCACCAACUGAGCUAUGUCUUAGUAUUGAACCUUGUGGUGCCCAGUUUCUAACAACCAUUCCCUUCUCCUUUGUCCUCUCCAAAAACCCUUCUGGCAACAACUCAUCCAAACUUAGUUCCUCCGACUCCAUAUCGCUCCUAACAAUCCACAAGAAUCUUUGUUCACUUUUUUCCAAACCAAUAGCUAUCUGAUUAAUUUGAGCCUUAGAAAAUCUCCCUAAGCUUCCAAAGCUCAACAAAACGACGCUUUGACCUGGCUGUGAAUCGAGCCAACUCAAACACCCACUUUUAUCUUCUUCACACGAGGUUGACACUACGGGUCCGAUGCAAAAAAGCAACGGAGUGGUUCCAUCAGGAACACACAAUCCAUUUCUUAAAGCUUUAAUAGCUUUCUUUUCAAUAGCAUCGAAAGUGUUUACGAUAAUCCCAUCACUUUCCCUUAAUGAUUUAGCUGACUGAAGCAAAACCUGGUAACUUGGACUUGAUGGAUCCUUCCCUUCAUCAGGAUAAUCUUCCUUCGAUAGCCUCGGUAACCCGGGAAGUUCAAUAGGUGUAUGCAUGUUAUAGUCCUUAAUAGGUAUUGUAGCGUUUUUGUGAAAAGUUGGAAAGUUAAGAAAAAGGCAUAGAAGAGAAGCUCCUGAGGUGUAGUAAAAGUAAGUUGGAAUUUCAAGAUUGUUGGUAACUUGUGAAGCACUAUAGUUAAGGAAAUCCAACAUAACUGCUUUAAGGUUUGAGGUUUUUGCAAUGGAUUGAAGAAUAUGAUGAACAUGGUGGUUGCUACGAGGAGAGAGUUCUAGGGUUUGUAAAUGAGGUGGAAGAGUAAAAGUGAAUGAAAUUGAAGGAAUAUAGUGGAAGUUGAUAGAGGGAAAUUUGUUUGAGACAGAUGAUAUAUAUUGAGACGUGGAAACGUUAAUGGUGUUGGUGUCUUGGUUGGGGGGUGUGAGAAUGAGAAUUUUGAUGGAAAAUGAAGGGUGGUGAGUUAGUAUGAGUUUUCCUAACUCAACCAUGGACAUUAAGUGUCCACUUCCAAAGGCAGGGUAGAGAACUAUAGUGUCCUUCAUGUUUAACUAAUUUUGGUAUAGAAUUUUUAUGGAAUAUGGGAGAAUAUUUACUCUAAAGUGUUGUGAUUUUCUAGGCAAGGAAAUGAGUGUAUUUAUGGACACUUUUGUGCCCUAUGGGUCAACUAAAAA